rnacentral:misc_RNA from 1 species
AACGGUCUAUACCUGCGGUACCUGCGGAGGGAUCAUUAUAGAGUGGUAAACCCCCCGUAAAAGGGGGGGACCUCCUGUCCUUUGUAGGCUCUUUUUUAAAAGGGCUUUUUUUAAUUUUCUGCUUCGGUGGGGUUAUCCCACCGGAACAACCUCAAAACUCUUAUCAAAAAAUCGUUCUGUCUGAGAACCUUUUAUAAUAAAAAAAAACUUUUAGCAAUGGAUCUCUAGAUCGGAAGAGCA